CAGAUCUGAAAAUAAUUAUAUUGAAUCAUUUAAAAAAUUGCAUCAGAUAUUUAACUUGGUUAUUAGAAUGUCAAAACUAUUUACAGUAACAACCUCAUCAUGCUUGGGCAUCCUACUUAAUUAUGUUGAUGACUCAACAUAAAAUUAUUUUCUGAUCUGUAGUUAGCUAAAUUUUUAGAUGUUGCUGUAAAAUUAUUCCUUUGUUUUUUCGCACCUACCGUGAUUUUAAGGAUAAAUUUAAGACGAAAUUCCGUGUAUAUACGCAUAUCGCUGAGAUUAUUUCUAUUUACCGUAGAAAAAAAUGCCAUUUCUGUCACGCGUUUGUUUUUUGAAUCAAAAUCUUUUAUCAUUUGUGUUUGGUGUAUUUAGAGAUAUGUGUAUCUCGAAAUGGGAUACGAAAUACUUGACGUUGCGUUAUGUAAAAAUGUGCGAUUACGUAAUAUGGAUAAUCUCUCGAGUUGCGAUACAUGCGGAACCGGGAGUCUGUUACUAGGUAGCCUACAUGUAUCACAGCUUGAAAAUUAUCGUUGACCCAGUUCCUUGGUUUUUACGUCCCCGCUCGCGCGAUGUCUCCCCGUGAUAGUAGGUCUUAAAGUUGGCGAAAUGAGGUUAAACCACCAUACGAAAGCCGCGCUCAUAACCAUAUGGUGUCUGCGGCAGUGUUUUACGCUCAGGUAAAGUCGGACGGCGUCGUAUACAUAUAUAGUUCACGUGGUAGCGAGUACCACAUCAAUUCCGCGGCAUCCUGCCGGUGGAUAAAGUAGCGCGAGCAAGGGGAUGAUAGAAGAAAGGAAACGAGCCUUCGUGGUAUCGAGGGGGGUGACAGUGAUCCUCAAACCCACAUUGCCGUUGCUUUUUUACACGGACUAUCGGGAACGGUUACGUAGAUUCUGUUUCGUUUCUAGGAAGUACCGUGUACGUUAACGAGUAAUUUAUUCAAUUAGGUAAACAUAAAUUACGCGCGAGAUUAUCUCACAAAGUUUAACGCGCAAUUGUAAAGAGACAGAAAAAAGAAUAAUUUAUAUUUAUAUAGAUAUACGCGACUCCUUAUAAGAUGAUAAAAACCAUGCAGAUUCGUUAUGUAAAACGAUCUUUGCGUAAUUAUGAAACCCGUCUAUCGAUUACGCGAGUGCGGUCUAAUGCAGCUGGCACGUAUCGCGCCGGGUGUCAUAUAAAAGCUUGGCAGUUUCAAUUUAUACGCGACCACUUGAUGUCACAUCACGCGACACAGUAAUGCACCGCGAUUGCUUAAGGUGAGUACUCACAAUAUUGGAAUCUUGAUGUACUUUUGGAUCCGCUUCGUUGGCGCAAUGUGAGUUAAUAAUGAAUGGGGUGAAGUCGUCUAUUAUAGGGAUAGGUUCCAGAGUUUUUGAGUAUUGAAAGAGUUAUCUGAUUGGUUACCUAGAUUUUGAACUCAAUAAGAUAAGAUUAUAUUAGAGCGACUUACGUGCUACUUUAUUAUUAUGUUAAAUGCAAAAUUCUGGAUUUGACCGCAAAAUUUAACAUUUUAUAAAUAUUUAUUUGAAGUUGCAAUCAGCGAUAGAACUCUGAUAGUACUAACUAGAACUCUUGUCAAAUAUAUUAAUAUUUAUUGUUUUCUUAUACUUUAGAAGAGGAGGGGUCGUACUAGAUUCGCAAAGUUAGCACUUUUUUUUUAAAUAAAAGUGCAGAACUUUUUGUUAUUUUUAUAAAAAACUACGGAACUAUGAAAAGUGCCACCGGAACUCUAUGUGUUUUUUUCAUAUUAACAGAAUGUUGUGCCAACUUCACAGAUUCUUUACCUUAAUGCAUUUAUGAAAAACAAGACGAAUCGAUUCAAGAUAAGAACGCAUGGUUUUAUUUGAAAAAAUAAGAAUGACCUUGAAAUAACUCCAUUCAGAACAAAGAUAUAUUUGUCCUCUCUUUGAAAGCAAACAAUCUUUGUCUGAAACGAUUUCAUUGACAUCGUGAGUCUCCGAGAUGUUCCGUUAUGUCGCUUAAAAUGAGACACUCAGUACAUAAUGGCGUCAUGAGUGCAGGAAAUCGUAUGAGCUGAUUAUUGAUUUGCGUUUCAUGAACAAACAGCCAACGUCGCAAUUAUUCGAAGGAUAAGAGAGAAAUAUAAAAAAAUAAUUACACAACGCGCAAUUAAAUAACUUAUAUAAUUUAUACAUACGUAUAUAGUGCACGUACACAACUUAGGAUCAAUUACUAGUUACAGGCAGAUAUUUAUAUCAGAUGAAUAUUUGGUCUUCUUUAUAUAAGAAGCUGUAGUUGUUAUAUAUUCAGAAAUAUUUAAAUUCAGACUUAAUUGUGCAAAUGCAAGUAUCUUAAUUUUUAUUGAUUAUUAAUAUAAUCGAUUCAAUCAGUUCAUCACAAGCUGCGUUUAAAUCUUCGCUAAUAGUAUGUGAAAAUAGCUUACGUUAAGUAAUAUUUUAUUUAAUAUCGAUAUUUCGCCGAGAAUAAUGAGCAUCUUUCUCGUUUGCCCGUAACAAUUCGAACGUGAUGCAAUGUUAUGCAAUAUCUAUCAAGAAUCGAGAAAUAUGAGUGAGUUUACAUGCGAUACGGAACAAGUACCAGACGAGAAACUGACGAUCGUACGAUCUGCGACAAAUCCGGUUGACAACCACUGACAAGCAGGAGGCAGCUGAGCGGACAAAGAGCGAACGGUUAUUGCAGGACGACAGUGCAGACUCGAAGCCGGCACACCGGCGAGCCCCGCUCUUCGUUCUUCGUUCCACACACACACACACACACACACUCUCUCUCUCUCUC